UUGCAGCCCAUCACCCUAAUUGACCUUCAAUAUCUUCUUGCUCUCAUUGCUGAUUAAGCAUGCCCGGUCUGGUCUUUCAUGAAUCAGUUCCUGGCUAUACAAAACUUUCUUCCCCAAGUUGCACAUGGCUGUUUUUUCACAAGAUCUGGGGAAGAUGGCCUUGUGUGGCCAGCAGCUGCUUCAUGAAGGAUCAGACCACACAUACCUCAGCAGCAGCAGGAACAAAAAGGAACAGCUGGGGCAAUGGAGUACAGGAUAGUGAUGAUGACAGUGGCUGGGCUGGGGCAGCUUUAGCUUUGCAUCACUCUGCUCGGCUGGCCUCAGCUUUGUGUUGCAAAAGGUUUCACACUGCAAAGGGCUUCUUGCUGUACUGCAGCUUAGGGGCUACUUGCUCUGCAAUAAGAAACCCAAGAUGCAGUAUGGAAAGCAGCAUCAGAGCUAUGUGGUUCUAGGGCUCCUUGCUGUCUUGCAAGUCAGUGAUAAAUAGGGGAAUUGAAAAGGAGGUGGCCCCUUACCUUACCAAGGCUUGGGAUUGGGAGGGACCAAGCAUGAAACAGUUUGGAUUGGGUGAAUACUUGCUUCACAACCUGCAUUUCUCAGUUAACAAUAGCAACAGGGGGGUGGAAUUGCUAUCCUUAGUGUGGUCAUGUGACAUGCUUUAUGACAUCACUUAGCAAUGGAAAUUCUGGUUCCUAUAUGCCAAGGACUACAUGUAGUUCCGGGCGCACCAUGCUGUGAUAAAAUCAUGUUUUAAGAUCUUGUGACAAGUCAGUAUGGUUGAGGGCCAAUCUGAUCUCCAGGGAAAUGAUGUUCCAUAGAGUGAGAAUAUGACAGAAAAGACUAGUCUAGCAAACAGACUAGGACCAUGCCCUUCCUGUUGGAUCUGAUGGAAUGGGAAGAUAGGAUUAGAGAGAGUUGGUUCCUCAAAUAACCUGGUCCCAUUCAUAAUCAGUGCUCUUUCAAAACCACCAAACUUAGCUACCCUAGUCCCAAGUGCUGGCCAUAAAAUCCAUAGUUUAUAAUUUAGCUAUAUACUAUGUCUCCUGCUGAUCUUGAAUCUCCCCAUGUUUAGUUGCAGUAUGUAUCUUUGAGUUCUAGCAAGGUAAGAUAGAGAAAAGGAGAGAGUGUCAAGAGUAAACGAGUUCUGAGUAGAAAUAUGCAAAAAAUAUUUCAUGAUAUAAUCAUAUAAUAUUUUAUAACAUAAAUAUAAGCAAAUUUCAGAAGAUUCUAUAGAAACUUUCUAAAUUAGAUAAGAGCUCAGAAAUAACUCAUCUUGAUUCUCAUCUUGAUAUUGCCUGUCACCAAUAUCUCAGCACAACAUAUUCCACCAAUCUGUCCAUCCACAAUAUUUCCAACACUUUCUCUUACUUCCCUUACCUGACAUCCUUCAGCUGCCAAUGUUCAACCCCUACCGCACAGCAUAUCAGCGUGCUUACCCCAUAAUCUUUCCAGAACCUUCUGUUCUAUCCCUCUCCUGCCUCUCAACCGCUACCAAUAUCCUUGACUUUUCCCACUCUUCCUUAAAACACAUACUUAGAACACCUACAUUUCAGUCCAUAUGGACAAGAAAACAACCCCGUUUUGUUCCAUACUCCAACCAAACACAUAUUUUGAUUUAAGCACAGAUCGCAAUGAGUUAUUGGACUCAUGAAAACUGUUCAUACAGUGUUUUUUUAUUAAUGAUGAAAGAAGGUAGAUUGAGUAUAAAAUAGUGAUCAGUUCAAAAGAAGUUCACUGAGGUGAUUUAGUCAUAUAAAAAGAAUUACAAAAAAAUUAUGUUGAAAGGAUCUGGAAGACUAAGAAAGGUUCAGUUAGUUGGAAUUGAUGAAGUCUUCAAAACUCAGAAUUGGUCCAGUUGUGAUAUCAAAGAUACGAAUGAAAAGUUACUCAUAAGAAAAUAGCACUCCAGAUCGCAACGAACGGUCAAGACCAUCAGAAAAGCUCAGGCGUUUUGGGAAUAUUAUUCCCAGGAAAUAAGAGGGCGCCGCACCGGAGGCCUUCAGCGCCAAGUCAUCGCCAACUCGCCUGUUCGGUCAGAAAACCUCUGCAUAG